rnacentral:rRNA from 1 species
UUUACCCAACAGCUAGCCCCUAAUCUAAAUACAACAACUCAAUAUCAAUACCCCCUAAAAUACGUAAUCCUAAUAAACAAACCAUUUUUCCCCCUUAGUAUGGGCGACAGAAAAGGGAAUAUAGGAGCUAUAGAAAAAGUACCGCAAGGGAAUGCUGAAAGAGAAGUGAAACAAAUCAGUAAAGUAUUGAAAAGCAGAGAUUAAAUCUCGUACCUUUUGCAUCAUGUUUUAGCUAGAAAAUUACAAGCAAAGAGUACUUUAGUUUGCUUCCCCGAAACUAAGUGAGCUACUCCAAGGCAGCCUAAUAAAUAGGGCCAACCCGUCUCUGUGGCAAAAGAGUGGGACGAACUUAGAGUAGAGGUGACAGACCUACCGAACUUAGUUAUAGCUGGUUGCUUGAGAACUGAAUAGAAGUUCAGCCUCUUGGUUUCUUAAUUCCAACAGCAACUGCUCAUUCCGAUGCACUAAGAAACCAAGAGAGUUAGUUAAAGGGGGUACAGCCCCUUUAAAUCAAGAUACAACUUUCCUAGAUGGAUAAAGAUCAUAAUAAUUAAGGUAAAAUAUUCUAGUGGGCCUAAAAGCAGCCAUCUAAAAGAAAGCGUUAAAGCUCAGAUAUUUCGCACAGCCUUUGAUUUCGAUAAUAUUGUCUCACUCCCCUUAUAUGUAUCAAGCCUCCCCAUGCUAACAUGGGGGUGACCAUGCUAAUAUGAGUAAUAAGAAAGAACGACUUUCUCCUUGCACAUGUGUAACUCAGAACGGACCUUCCACCGAAUAUUACCGGCCCCAAACAAAGAGGGUAAUGAACAAUAAAUAAACAACUAGAAAAUCACCCAACAACCAACCGUUAACCCCACACAGGUGUGCCCCCAAGGAAAGACUAAAAGAAAAAGAAGGAACUCGGCAAACACUAAGCCUCGCCUGUUUACCAAAAACAUCGCCUCUUGCAAAAAUAAAGAAUAAGAGGUCCCGCCUGCCCUGUGACAAGAAGUUUAACGGCCGCGGUAUUUUGACCGUGCAAAGGUAGCGCAAUCACUUGUCUUUUAAAUGAAGACCUGUAUGAAUGGCAUAACGAGGGCUUUACUGUCUCCUUUUUCAAGUCAAUGAAAUUGAUCUCCCCGUGCAGAAGCGGGGAUACAGCCAUAAGACGAGAAGACCCUAUGGAGCUUUAGACACCAAGACAGAUCUUGUUAAGUAUACUCAAAUAAAAGACUAAACCAAAAGAAGCCUGUCCUAAUGUCUUUGGUUGGGGCGACCGCGGGGAAACAAAAAACCCCCAUGUGGACUGAGUACACCCUUACUCAAAACCAAGAGCCACAGCUCUAAUUAACAGAAAUUCUGACCUUAAGAUCCGGCAAUGCCGAUCAACGGACCGAGUUACCCUAGGGAUAACAGCGCAAUCCUCUUUUAGAGCCCAUAUCGACAAGGGGGUUUACGACCUCGAUGUUGGAUCAGGACAUCCUAAUGGUGCAGCCGCUAUUAAGGGUUCGUUUGUUCAACGAUUAAAGUCCU